rnacentral:rRNA from 1 species
UACAGAGGUCCCAAGCGUUGUUCGGAAUUACUGGGCGUAAAGGGCUCGUAGGCGGCCAACUAAGUCGGAUGUGAAAUCCCCAGGCUUAACCUGGAACUGCAUCCGAUACUGGAUGGCUUGAAUCCGGGAGAGGGAUGCAGAAUUCCAGGUGUAGCGGUGAAAUGCGUAGAUAUCUGGAGGAACACCGGUGGCGAAGGCGGCAUCCUGGACCGGUAUUGACGCUGAGGCGCGAAAGCUAGGGGAGCAAACGGG